UUAAAAAAAUAAGCUAUUAAGGGCUAAUGGUGGAUGCCUAGACUGUAAGAGGCGAAGAAGGACGUACUAGACUGCGAAAAGUCACGAGGAGCUGUCAAGAAGCAUUGAUUCGUGAAUAUCCGAAUGGGACAACCCAAUAUAUAGAGAUAUAUAUUACCCAGAAAUGGGGGCUAACGUGGUGAAGUGAAACAUCUCAGUAACCAUAGGAAGAGAAAUCAAAAGAGAUUCCCAAAGUAGCGGCGAGCGAAAUGGGAGAAGGGCAAACCCUAUGCUUGCAUAGGGGGUUGAAGGACCAUAAUAUGAGACUAAAGAUAAUAGUAGAAAUAUCUGGAAAGGUAUAGCAAAGAGGGUGAAACUCCUGUAUACGAAAUUAUCAAUAGCUCUAAUGGUAUCCUGAGUAGGACGGAACACGUGAUAUUUUGUCUGAAUCCGGGGGGACCACCCUCCAACCCUAAAUACUACUUACAGAUCGAUAGUGAACAAGUACCGUGAGGGAAAGGUGAAAAGUACUCCAGCGAGGAGAGUGAAAUAGAACCUGAAACCAUUAGCUUACAAUCAUUCAGAGCCCUAUGUGAAUUUAUUCACAGGGUGAUGGACUGCCUUUUGCAUAAUGAGCCUGCGAGUUGUGGUAUCUGGCAAGGUUAAGUCAAGUACGAAGCCGUAGCGAAAGCGAGUCUUAAAAGGCGAAUUAGUCAGAUGCUGCAGACCCGAAACGAAGUGAUCUAUCCAUGGGCAGGUUGAAGCUGGUGUAAGAGCCAGUGGAGGACCGAACCGAUGGGCGUUGAAAAGCCCCCGGAUGACCUGUGGAUAGGGGUGAAAGGCCAAUCAAACUUCGUGAUAGCUGGUUCUCUCCGAAAUAUAUUUAGGUAUAGCCUCUAGUAGUAGCAUGUAGGGGUAGAGCACUGAAUGGGCUAGGGCUGCUUACCGCGGUACCAAACCCUAUCAAACUUCGAAUACUACAUGUGUAAGCUAGGGAGUCAGGCGUAGGGUGAUAAAAUCCUAUGUCGAGAGGGGAACAACCCAGACUAACAGCUAAGGUCCCAAAGUUACAUCUAAGUGGAAAACGAUGUGGAGUUACUGUGACAACCAGGAGGUUGGCUUAGAAGCAGCCAUCCUUUAAAGAAAGCGUAACAGCUCACUGGUCUAGUGAUUCUGCGCGGAAAAUAUAACGGGGCUAAGAUGUACACCGAAGCUUUAGAUUCAUAAUUUAUUAUGAGUGGUAGGAGAGCGUUCUAUUCAGCGUCGAAGCUGUACCGGUAAGGAGCAGUGGAGCGGAUAGAAGUGAGCAUGCAGGCAUGAGUAGCGAUAAUUAAGGUGAGAAUCCUUAACGCCGAAAACCCAAGGUUUCCUACGCGAUGCUCGUCAUCGUAGGGUUAGUCGGGUCCUAAGUCGAGUCCGAAAGGGGUAGACGAUGGGAAAUUGGUUAAUAUUCCAAUACCAACAAUUAAGCGCGAUGUGGGGACGCAUAGAGUUAAUCGAGCUCACUGAUGGAAUAGUGGGUCGAAGGACGUAGGUUGUAAUUUAGGUAAAUCCGGAUUACAAGAGACCGAGAUCUGAUAGGCUGAACAAUCUCUUCGGAGAGCGUUUAGAAUCGAUGAUACUGUCGUGCCAAGAAAAGCCACUAAGUAUAUUAAUUGUUGCCCGUACCGUAAACCGACACAGGUAGGUGGGAUGAGUAUUCUAAGGCGCGUGGAAGAACCCUGGUUAAGGAACUCUGCAAACUAGCACCGUAUCUUCGGUAUAAGGUGUGCCUACUUUGGUAUAGAGAUUUACUCUCAAAAGCCUAAGAGGUUGCAACAAAGAGUCCCUCCCGACUGUUUACCAAAAACACAGCACUUUGCUAACACGUAAGUGGAUGUAUAAGGUGUGACGCCUGCCCGGUGCUCGAAGGUUAAUUGAUGAUGUAAGCGUAAGCGAAGCAUUUGAUCGAAGCCCGAGUAAACGGCGGCCGUAACUAUAACGGUCCUAAGGUAGCGAAAUUCCUUGUCGGUUAAAUACCGACCUGCAUGAAUGGCGUAACGAGAUGGGAGCUGUCUCAACCAGGGAUCCAGUGAAAUUGUAGUGGAGGUGAAAAUUCCUCCUACCCGCGGAAAGACGGAAAGACCCCGUGCACCUUUACUACAGCUUGACACUGUAGCUUGGAUAUUCAUGUGCAGGAUAGGUGGGAGGCUUUGAUUACUAGACGCAAGUAGAGUAUGAGCCAUCCUUGAGAUACCACCCUUGAAUAUUUGAGUUACUAACUGCGUACAAUAAACUUGUAUCAGGACAAUGUCUGGUGGGUAGUUUGACUGGGGCGGUCGCCUCCUAAAAAGUAACGGAGGCUUACAAAGGUUAGUUCAAGGCGGAUGGAAAUCGCCUGAUGAGUAUAAUGGCAUAAACUAGCUUGACUGUGAGAGAGACAACUCGAGCAGAGACGAAAGUCGGUCAUAGUGAUCCGGUGGUUCUGAGUGGAAGGGCCAUCGCUCAAAGGAUAAAAGGUACGCCGGGGAUAACAGGCUGAUCUCCCCCAAGAGCUCACAUCGACGGGGAGGUUUGGCACCUCGAUGUCGGCUCAUCGCAUCCUGGGGCUGGAGCAGGUCCCAAGGGUAUGGCUGUUCGCCAUUUAAAGCGGUACGCGAGCUGGGUUCAGAACGUCGUGAGACAGUUCGGUCCCUAUCUUCCGUGGGCGUAGGAAAGUUGAGAAGAUUUGUCCCUAGUACGAGAGGACCGGGAUGAACGUACCACUGGUGUACCAAUUGUUCUGCCAAGAGCAUCGUUGGGUAGCUACGUACGGAUGAGAUAAGAGCUGAAAGCAUCUAAGCUCGAAGCCAACUUCAAGAUGAACUUUCCCUGAAGAUCCCAGUAAGACUAACUGGUUGAUAGGCUAGAUGUGUAAGCAUAGAGAUAUGUUUAGCUGACUAGUACUAAUAGAUCGUUCGGCUUAUUAUU
rnacentral:rRNA from 2 species